AAUAGAUACCCCGGUAGUCCACGCCGUAAACGAUGAGUGCUAAGUGUUAGAGGGUUUCCGCCCUUUAGUGCUGCAGCUAACGCAUUAAGCACUCCGCCUGGGGAGUACGGCCGCAAGGCUGAAACUCAAAGGAAUUGACGGGGGCCCGCACAAGCGGUGGAGCAUGUGGUUUAAUUCGAAGCAACGCGAAGAACCUUACCAGGUCUUGACAUCCUCUGCCAACCCUAGAGAUAGGGCGUUCCCUUUCGGGGGGACAGAGUGACAGGUGGUGCAUGGUUGUCGUCAGCUCGUGUCGUGAGAUGUUGGGUUAAGUCCCGCAACGAGCGCAACCCUUGAUCUUAGUUGCCAGCAUUCAGUUGGGCACUCUAAGGUGACUGCCGGUGACAAACCGGAGGAAGGUGGGGAUGACGUCAAAUCAUCAUGCCCCUUAUGACCUGGGCUACACACGUGCUACAAUGGAUGGUACAAAGAGCUGCGAACCCGCGAGGGUAAGCGAAUCUCAUAAAGCCAUUCUCAGUUCGGA
rnacentral:rRNA from 1 species